rnacentral:rRNA from 1 species
GACGAACGCUGGCGGCGUGCCUAAUACAUGCAAGUCGAGCGGACGGAUGGGAGCUUGCUCCCAGACCGUCAGCGGCGGACGGGUGAGUAACACGUGGGCAACCUGCCUGUAAGACUGGGAUAACUCCGGGAAACCGGGGCUAAUACCGGAUAACUCUUUCCCUCACAUGAGGGAAAGCUGAAAGAUGGCAUCUCGCUAUCACUUACAGAUGGGCCCGCGGCGCAUUAGCUAGUUGGUGAGGUAACGGCUCACCAAGGCGACGAUGCGUAGCCGACCUGAGAGGGUGGGCGGCCACCAUGGGACUGAGACACGGACCAGACUCCUACGGGAGGCAGGAGUAGGGAAUCUUCCGCAAUGGACGAGAGUCUGACGGAGCAACGCCGCGUGAGUGAUGAAGGUUUCCGGAUCGGAAAACGCUGUUGUCAGGGAAGAACCAGUACCGGAGUAACUGCCGGUACCUUGACGGCACCUUCCUAGACAGCCACGGCUAACCACGUG